rnacentral:rRNA from 1 species
CAGGUCUUGACAUCUAGUGCCAUUUGUAGAGAUACAAAGUUCCCUUCGGGGACGCUAAGACAGGUGGUGCAUGGCUGUCGUCAGCUCGUGUCGUGAGAUGUUGGGUUAAGUCCCGCAACGAGCGCAACCCUUGUUAUUAGUUGCCAGCAUUAAGUUGGGCACUCUAAUGAGACUGCCGGUGACAAACCGGGGGAAGGUGGGGAUGACGUCAAGUCAUCAUGCCCCUUAUGACCUGGGCUACACACGUGCUACAAUGGGCAGUACAACGAGAAGCGAGCCUGCGGAGGCAAGCGAAUCUCUGAAAGCUGUUCUCAGUUCGGACUGCAGUCUGCAACUCGACUGCACGAAGCUGGAAUCGCUAGUAAUCGCGGAUCAGCACG